GCCUGGGUGGCUCAGGGGUUGAGUGUCUGUCUUUGGCUCAGGGUGUGAUCCUGCCAUCUCGGGAUCGAGUCCCGCAUCAGGCU
rnacentral:tRNA from 1 species